rnacentral:lncRNA from 1 species
GUUCUGAUGCAAAAGGAGAAUAUGGGGCCAUGUCCAUGCGUGACAGUGUGGGAAGAUGGUAUUUCUCCACAACUGGAAAUACUACUGAUUGGAGAGAGGAUUUUUGGAUAUGGCAUGUUGUCUCCUGGAGAUUAGUGUGAAACUCCAUAUCUUUUCUCUGUCUGAUCUCAUUACAGUCAGCUCUCUAGGGGUGAAAAGUGCCUGUUGUUCCAGUUUAGAACUGUCACCCUUCACUCCCAUCCCUACAAAACCUACAAUGAUACUUUACAAAGGAAGUUUAAAGAAGAGAUUGAGGAGAAAUAACCAACUACAGAGGUCCAGAAGGUCCUUCCAGACUUGUGUCAUCUCUCAGAGAAGUCCACCAGUAUGAAAAAGAGUUCAAUAAGAGAAAAGAGUUCAAUAUGAAGCUAACCUUUAACCAGAGAAAUUUGGGGAACAUAGAAAGCCAAUCUCAGUUUACAGUGUUGUGUUUCUUGUAUUGUUACCUUAAAAUUACAGUCCACUUUCUGUUAGAGAAUAUGCAUGGAAGUUCUCCUGAUGCAAAACCAGUCCCAG